AUACGGAGGGUGCAAGCGUUGUUCGGAUUUAUUGGGCGUAAAGCGAGUGUAGGCGGUUUGACAAGUCGAAUGUGAAAUCCCGAGGCCCAACCUCGGAACUGCAUCCGAAACUGUCAGGCUAGAGUCCCGGAGAGGAUGGCGGAAUUCCCGGUGUAGGGGUGAAAUCCGUAGAUAUCGGGAGGAACACCAGUGGCGAAGGCGCCCAUCUGGACGGUGACUGACGCUGAGACUCGAAAGUGUGGGUAGCAAACAGGAUUAGAAACCCUAGUAGUCC
rnacentral:rRNA from 1 species